GUCCUUGACUCCGAACUGGCUGAGGCAACGGAUUCAAAACCCGUGUAGUGAGAGUUCGAAUCUCUCCGGGGGCACCA
rnacentral:tRNA from 1 species